rnacentral:rRNA from 1 species
CAGCAAUAUGAAGGCCAGGCUGAAGACUUUGCCGGAUUAGCUGAGAGGUGGUGCAUGGCCGUCGUCAGUUCGUACUGUGAAGCAUCCUGUUAAGUCAGGCAACGAGCGAGACCCACGCCCACAGUUGCCAGCGUACUCUCUGGAGUGACGGGUACACUGUGGGGACCGCCGCUGCUAAAGCGGAGGAAGGAAUGGGCAACGGUAGGUCAGUAUGCCCCGAAUAUCCCGGGCUACACGCGAGCUACAAUGGUUGGUACAAUGGGUAUCUACCCCGAAAGGGGACGGGAAUCUCCUAAAACCAAUCUUAGUUCGGAUUGAGGGCUGCAACUCGCCCUCAUGAAGCUGGAAUCCGUAGUAAUCGCGUUUCAACAGAACGCGGUGAAUACGCCCCUGCUCCUU